rnacentral:rRNA from 1 species
AUGGGAACGCGAAGAACCUUACCUAAACUUGACAUCUCCUGCAUUACUCUUAAUCGAGGAAGUCCCUUCGGGGACAGGAAGACAGGUGGUGCAUGGUUGUCGUCAGCUCGUGUCGUGAGAUGUUGGGUUAAGUCCCGCAACGAGCGCAACCCCUAUUAUUAGUUGCUAACAUUAAGUUGAGCACUCUAGUGAGACUGCCCGGGUUAACCGGGAGGAAGGUGGGGAGUGACGUCAAAUCAUCAUGCCCCUUAUGUCUAGGGCUACACACGUGCUACAAUGGUGGGAACAAAGAGAUGCAAUACCGCAAGGUGGAGCUAAACUCAAAACCCCAUCCCAGUUCGGAUUGUAGGCUGAAACUCGCCUACAUGAAGCUGGAGUUGCUAGUAAUCGCGAAUCAGAAUGUCGCGGUGAAUACGUUCCCGGGUCUUGUACACACCG